rnacentral:lncRNA from 1 species
UCCUAUUUACCUGUACGCAACGCAUAUACAUGAUCUUUGGGAAAGGGCAGGCAGCGGGCACCUACCAUGCAUAUGGGCAGAUGCACUCUAGACUUUCCUAUAAACCAGGUUCGUGUGAGUUCCUGCGUCACAGACCCCAAGUUCGGUUAUGUGCUACUCAAACUAGUUCAUCCAUUUAAUAUUCUGAGUAGUCAUCAAUCCAGCGCAAACUCCAAACGAUCCUACUGAUGAACAUAGUCAGAUCCAAUGGUGGCGAUUCUUUUUUAUUUCAUUUUUCAUCGGUGCUAUUUCCUCCUUUUCGUACUUACUUUCCAUUUGUAGCAUCUCUGGUCGCUUUUCUUUAAAUUAAUUCUACUUCCAAACUACAUGUUAGAUGGCCACGGUACUUUUAUUCUGUUUUAAAAAUGAUGGCCUCGGCACCCUUUUGACCAAACAAACUGACCACGCGAUUUGAACCACAUCUCAUCUCUCUGCUGUGCGCGGCAGAGGCUGUAAAAUGUAUUCCAAAGUAACAUGGGAGUAUCGUCAUGUACCGUCAAGAAAAAAGUAUGGGAGAAUCCUAUUUACCUGUACGCAACGCAUAUACAUGAUCUUUGGGAAAGGGCAGGCAGCGGGCACCUACCAUGCAUAUCGGCAGAUGCACUCUAGACUUUUCUAUAAACCAGGUUCGUGUGAGUUCCUGCGUCACAGACCCCAAGUUCGGUUAUGUGCUACUCAAACUAGUUCAUCCAUUUAAUAUUCUGAGUAGUCAUCAAUCCAGCGCAAACUCCAAACGAUCCUACUGAUGAACAUAGUCAGAUCCAAUGGUGGCGAUUCUUUUUUAUUUCAUUUUUCAUCGGUGCUAUUUCCUCCUUUUCGUACUUACUUUCCAUUUGUAGCAUCUCUGGUCGCUUUUCUUUAAAUUAAUUCUACUUCCAAACUACAUGUUAGAUGGCCACGGUACUUUUAUUCUGUUUUAAAAAUGAUGGCCUCGGCACCCUUUUGACCAAACAAACUGACCACGCGAUUUGAACCACAUCUCAUCUCUCUGCUGUGCGCGGCAGAGGCUGUAAAAUGUAUUCCAAAGUAACAUGGGAGUAUCGUCAUGUACCGUCAAGAAAAAAGUAUGGGAGAAUCCUAUUUACCUGUACGCAACGCAUAUACAUGAUCUUUGGGAAAGGGCAGGCAGCGGGCACCUACCAUGCAUAUGGGCAGAUGCACUCUAGACUUUCCUAUAAACCAGGUUCGUGUGAGUUCCUGCGUCACAGACCCCAAGUUCGGUUAUGUGCUACUCAAACUAGUUCAUCCAUUUAAUAUUCUGAGUAGUCAUCAAUCCAGCGCAAACUCCAAACGAUCCUACUGAUGAACAUAGUCAGAUCCAAUGGUGGCACAAAAUGAGGCCUCUACGGCUCCCCUGGUUCCGAAUCAAACUACAUUUUUACAUGCCUACUACGCACAAUCCCUUAAUUCCUUCCUUCCCACUGGCUGUACACAACACACGGCGAAGCAGCCUCCACAAGUUCACAGGCUUCUUGCGGCAGCAGAGGAGAUGUAGUUGGCGGCCUCGUUGGCGUCCAGCUGCUUCCCUUCCACGAGUCCCUUGAUCAGAGUGGCGGAGUAGGUCUCAGAUGGAGGAGCUAAUGGCAGCUCGCCAGAUUUGUGCUGCGCAACAGCUGUUGAGGGGCAU